AUGGUUGUCGUCAGCUCGUGUCGUGAGAUGUGGUAAGUCCGCAACGAGCGCAACCCUUAUUGCUAGUUACCAUCAUUAAGUUGGGGGACUCUAGCGAGACUGCCAGUGAUAAACUGGAGGAAGGUGGGGAUGACGUCAAAUCAUCAUGCCCCUUAUGACCUGGGCUACAAACGUGAUACAAUGGCUGAAACAAAGGGCAGCGAAGCAGUGAUGUGGAGCGAAACCCAAAAAGCAGUCUCAGUUCGGAUUGAAGUCUGCAACUCGACUUCAUGAAGUUGGAAUCGCUAGUAAUCGUAGAUCAGAACGCUACGGUGAAUACGUUCUCGGGGUUU
rnacentral:rRNA from 1 species